rnacentral:rRNA from 1 species
UACGAAGGGAGCUAGCGUUGUUCGGAAUCACUGGGCGUAAAGCGCGCGUAGGCGGCUCAACCAGUCAGAGGUGAAAGCCUGGGGCUUAACCCCAGAAUUGCCUUUGAAACUGUUGAGCUUGAGGUCUGGAGGGGAGUGCGGAAUUCCUAAUGUAGAGGUGAAAUUCGUAGAUAUUAGGAGGAACACCGGUGGCGAAGGCGGCACUCUGGACAGACUCUGACGCUGAGGCGCGAAAGCGUGGGGAGCAAAGCAGG